AGAGUUUGAUCCUGGCUCAGGAUGAACGCUAGCUACGAGGCUUAACACAUGCAAGUCGAGGGGAAACGACAUCGAAAGCUUUGCUUUUUGAUGGGGCGUCGACCGGCGCACGGGUGAGUAACGCGUAUCCAACCUGCCCACCACUUGGGGAUAACCUUGCGAAAGUAAGACUAAUACCCAAUGAUAUCUCUAGAAGACAUCUGAAAGAGAUUAAAGAUUUAUCGGUGAUGGAUGGGGAUGCGUCUGAUUAGCUUGUUGGCGGGGUAACGGCCCACCAAGGCAACGAUCAGUAGGGGUUCUGAGAGGAAGGUCCCCCACAUUGGAACUGAGACACGGUCCAAACUCCUACGGGAGGCAGCA
rnacentral:rRNA from 1 species